UAGGUUCAUUGUCCUCUUGUGUCUGCAGAAAGCAAUCAAGAAAACAUCUGUGCUUAGAUAGAGCUGAUUUUCAUGGAUUGGGUUCAGAUGUUGGCAGAAGACCCAUGCUUCAAGAGCAGCCAAAAGACGGUUAAUUGGCUGUCAGCUCUGGAAGCCUGACCAUUAGCUGGGAGACACAAUGCUUAUUUACAGAGAGUCACAAUACCUAUUUACAAGGCAAGCAGAAAGUAGGGGAAGUCUGUGAGGAAUAGGAAUGAAAAGCAACAGGUUGUCCAAGAAACUAGAAUACUGCGGGUUCACCAAGUUCUCUUCAAACUCUGCUCCAGGAAUAAUUCCAUGUGUCUUUCUUGUACAACAGGCCUCAGAGGAUCUAUGGCUAGCCAUUUAUGCAUCUCCAGUGCUGAGCCAGACAUCUCCAAGCUUCCCCAGAAGAGGGUAAUUGCUGGAUUAGCUCUGUGCUAUUUUCUGGAAGGCUGAAAUCAUGCAAGCUGUCAAGUUUUCACAUGUUGUCGAGAAGUGGGACCUCAAGAAGUAACGAUGCUGUGAGAAGAACUGACAAUGCUGUGUUCUCCUGUACUAAGCCCUUACCAGAAACCCUACAGCUCUGCCACACUGAAGCCUGAGGGGACCUGGUCUGAAGGUUUCCUGCUCUGGGUGAGAAAUGGUGAAGGUUGUAUGAAAGAAAACAGCACCCCACCGAUCGACCCCUUCUGAACAGUUGGCAGUGAGAUGCGUGGGAUGUUUGGACAAUCCUCUUCCCCCAGCCUCCCCUGCUUUGCUUCAGCCCAUGGCUCGGCUGACCCUGAAAAACAUCUUUGAAAAGCUGAGGCCUGGUGGGGACAGUCUGUCAUUGAGUUACCCCGGGGAAGAGAAGUAAAGAAUGCAGCAUCGCCAACAAGGUAUGUGGUGCAAUGAACAAAUUAGCAAUAAUAAUAAUAAAAUAACUCUCACUUGGAUUUCUGCUUAUCAAACUUAUCAAUAAGUUGUUUCAUAUUC